UACAGAGGUCUCAAGCGUUGUUCGGAUUCAUUGGGCGUAAAGGGUGCGUAGGCGGCGCGGUAAGUCGGGUGUGAAAUCUCGGGGCUUAACUCCGAAACUGCAUUCGAUACUGCCGUGCUUGAGGACUGGAGAGGAGACUGGAAUUUACGGUGUAGCGGUGAAAUGCGUAGAUAUCGUAAGGAAGACCAGUGGCGAAGGCGGCUCGCUGGACCUUUUCUGACGCUGAGGCGCGAAGGCCAGGGGAGCAAACAGG
rnacentral:rRNA from 1 species